UCAGAACGAACGCUGGCGGCGCGUAUAAGCAUGCAAGUCGGACGGUAGAAAGGUGCUUGCACUUUUGAGAGUGGCGAACGGGUGAGUAACACGUAGAUAAUCUACCAUAGGAUUGGGGAUAGCCCAUGGAAACAUGGAUUAAUACCGAAUAAGCCUUCAUUAUCAUAAGGUGAUGAAGGGAAAGGCGCUGAGGCGCCGUCCUUUGAUGAGUCUGCGGUCCAUUAGUUAGUUGGUGGGGUAACGGCCUACCAAGGCACCGAUGGAUAGCCGGCCUGAGAGGGUGAGCGGCCACACUGGGACUGAGAUACGGCCCAGACUCCUACGGGAGGCAGCAGCUAAGAAUCUUCUACAAUGGACGAAAGUCUGAUAGAGCGACGCCGCGUGGGUGAUGAAGGCCCGGAAGGUUGUAAAGCCCUUUUCUAUUCGAGGAAUAAGGUGUGGAGGCAAUGCCACACUGAUGACGGUAGGGUAGGAAUAAGCCCCGGCCAAUUACGUGCCAGCAGCCGCGGUAACACGUAUGGGGCGAGCGUUGUUCGGAAUCAUUGGGCGUAAAGGGCGCGUAGGCGGAUAUGCAAGCCUGGUGUGAAAGACCGCAGCUCAACUGCGGGAGCGCGCUGAGAACUGCAUAUCUUGAGUUCAAGAGGGGAAGCUGGAAUUCCAGGUGUAGGGGUGAAAUCUGUAGAUAUCUGGAAGAACAUCAGUGGCGAAGGCGAGCUUCUGGCUUUGAACUGACGCUGAGGCGCGAAAGCGUGGGGAGCGAACAGGAUUAGAUACCCUGGUAGUCCACGCUGUAAACGAUGUGCACUAGGUGUUGGGCCGUUGAAGGCUCAGUGCCGUAGCUAACGCGUUAAGUGCACCGCCUGGGGAGUAUGCUCG
rnacentral:rRNA from 1 species